UACGAAGGGGGCUAGCGUUGUUCGGAAUCACUGGGCGUAAAGCGUAUGUAGGCGGAUCGUUAAGUCGGGGGUGAAAUCCCGAGGCUCAACCUCGGAACUGCCUCCGAUACUGGCGAUCUUCGAGUCCGGGAGAGGUGAGUGGAACUCCGAGUGUAGAGGUGAAAUUCGUAGAUAUUCGGAAGAACACCAGUGGCGAAGGCGGCUCACUGGCCCGGUACUGACGCUGAUAUACGAAAGCGUGGGGAGCAAACAGG
rnacentral:rRNA from 1 species